rnacentral:rRNA from 1 species
GACGAACGCUGGCGGCGUGCUUAACACAUGCAAGUCGAACGGAAAGGCCCUGCUUUUGUGGGGUGCUCGAGUGGCGAACGGGUGAGUAACACGUGAGUAACCUGCCCUUGACUUUGGGAUAACUUCAGGAAACUGGGGCUAAUACCGGAUAGGAGCUCCUGCUGCAUGGUGGGGGUUGGAAAGUUUCGGCGGUUGGGGAUGGACUCGCGGCUUAUCAGCUUGUUGGUGGGGUAGUGGCUUACCAAGGCUUUGACGGGUAGCCGGCCUGAGAGGGUGACCGGGCAAAUAGGGAUGGGGGAACGGCCAGGGUGCCUACGGGGGGAAGGGGGGGGAAAAUUUGCAAAAGGGGCGGAAGGCGGAAAGAGGAACGCCGGGUGGGGAAGGACGGCCUUGGGGUAGUAAACCGCUUUCGCCUGGAACGAGGCGUUAGGGAGGGAAAUGGGGAAAGAAGCACCGGCUAACUACGU